UAGGGAAUCUUCCGCAAUGGGCGAAAGCCUGACGGAGCAACGCCGCGUGAGUGAUGAAGGUCUUCGGAUCGUAAAACUCUGUUAUCAGGGAAGAACAAAUGUGUAAGUAACUAUGCACGUCUUGACGGUACCUAAUCAGAAAGCCACGGCUAACUACGUGCCAGCAGCCGCGGUAAUACGUAGGUGGCAAGCGUUCUCCGGCAUUAUUGGGCGUAAAGCGCGCGUAGGCGGUUUGUUAAGUCUGAUGUGAAAGUCCAGGGCUCAACCGGGGAGGGUCAUUGGAAGCUGGAAAACUUGCGUGCAGAAGAGGAAAGUGGAAUUCCAUGUGUAGCGGUGAAAUGCGCAGAGAUAUGGAGGAACACCAGUGGCGAAGGCGACUUUCUGGUCUGUAACUGACGCUGAUGUGCGAAAGCGUGGGGAUCAAACAGG
rnacentral:rRNA from 1 species